UCGGGAAUUUUGCGCAAUGGACGAAAGUCUGACGCAGCAACGCCGCGUGAGGGAUGAAGGCCUUCGGGUUGUAAACCUCUUUUAUCAGGGAAGAUAAUGACGGUACCUGAUGAAUAAGUCACGGCUAACUACGUGCCAGCAGCCGCGGUAAUACGUAGGUGACAAGCGUUGUCCGGAUUUACUGGGCGUAAAGAGCGCGCAGGCGGUCGUUCAAGUCGAGUGUGAAAGCCCCCGGCUCAACUGGGGAGGGUCAUUCGAUACUGAUCGACUGGAAGGCAGGAUAGGGUAGUGGAAUUCCCGGUGUAGUGGUGAAAUGCGUAGAUAUCGGGAGGAAAACCAGUGGCGAAGGCGACUACCUGGCCUGUUCUUGACGCUGAGGCGCGAAAGCUAGGGGAGCAAACGAG
rnacentral:rRNA from 1 species